GACGAACGCUGGCGGCGUGCUUAACACAUGCAAGUCGAACACUGAAGCUCAGCUUGCUGGGUGGAUGAGUGGCGAACGGGUGAGUAACACGUGAGUAACCUGCCCUCUUCUUUGGGAUAACGCCCGGAAACGGGUGCUAAUACUGGAUAUUCACUGAUUCUCGCAUGGGGGUUGGUGGAAAGGUUUUUUCUGGUGGGGGAUGGGCUCGCGGCCUAUCAGCUUGUUGGUGGGGUGAUGGCCUACCAAGGCUUUGACGGGUAGCCGGCCUGAGAGGGUGACCGGUCACAUUGGGACUGAGAUACGGCCCAGACUCCUACGGGAGGCAGCAGUGGGGAAUAUUGCACAAUGGGCGAAAGCCUGAUGCAGCGACGCCGCGUGAGGGAUGGAGGCCUUCGGGUUGUAAACCUCUUUCGCUCAUGGUCAAGCCGCAGCUUUGGGUUGUGGUGAGGGUAGUGGGUAAAGAAGCGCCGGCUAACUACGUG
rnacentral:rRNA from 1 species